CCAAGCCUUCUGGCAAUCCGCGAUAAGUUCUUUGUAGAACUUUAAGAAAAGCAUUUUCCAUUAAAAGAAUGCUUUCAUGUGAUAAUGCCGGGGAAGGUUUUCCGGUUUAUCCCGGAGGGCUUGUAGCUCAGUUGGUUAGAGCGCGCGCUUGAUAAGCGUGAGGUCGGAGGUUCAAGUCCUCCCAGGCCCACCAAUUAUCCAUCCAUAGAAAAGCGCUUAGAAAGUUUGACUGUUAACAGGUCAACGUUGUUUUGUAGGACGCCAAUAUUGUCUUGAAAAAGAGCUUUCUUGUAAAGUUUGAGAAAACUUGUUUAUCGCUUUUUGUAAGAUGUGGUGUUUGUCUGCUUUUAAAGCGAUCGAAACUGAAAGUGUUUCAAAGAUAAGAGUCUUGGAACAGAAGAGUCUUGGAAUAGAAAAGAAUAUAAAGUCUAGGUGGUAUUACAUAGUCUAGAGUUAAAUUGUUCAUGAUUGGAACAUUUCAUAUUGAAAUGCUGCGAUAUAAAGGUUUCGAAUAAAUUAUUCCGUUUUGGGGCCGUAGCUCAGCUGGGAGAGCACCUGCUUUGCAAGCAGGGGGUCGUCGGUUCGAUCCCGUCCGGCUCCACCAUUUGGUCAUCAUCAUUGUU
rnacentral:tRNA from 1 species